UGACAUUAAGCCUUUUGCCUAUUUCUGUAACUGGAAUUCUCUUGCCAUCUCUGUAAAAUCUGCAGAUUGAAGGAUGCCGAAUUUACAGUCAGCAACAUUAUAAAGACACCGUUGAAGGAUGAAGACAGUGUAGGAUGAUGAAGACUUUGAAUCCCUAACACAUUUCUAAUUAAAUUUUGUGACAUCUCCACCCUUUAUUUU
rnacentral:lncRNA from 1 species